GGAGUUGUAGCUCAGAGGUAGAGCGCUCGCCUAACAUGCGUAAGGCCUUGGGUUCAAUCCUCAGCACCA
rnacentral:tRNA from 1 species